AUCUGUAAGGCAAGGGGGUUGUACUAGACCAGCAGUUCUCAAACUGGGAUGUGCGUCAGAGUCACCCAGAGAGCCUGUUGAACAUGAGUCACUGGGCCUACCCCCAGAUUACUGACUCCGCAGAACCUAAGAAUCUGCAUUUUGAAGAUGUCGUCAGGUGAUGCUGAUGCUUCUGGUCUCGGGGACUACACCAGGAACCAGUGGGCUGGCUGGCCGGAUUUUAAGCCGUAUUUGUCAGAGUUAGAAAGGGCUGCAGGAUGCUUGCUUACUCACGGGUCUCAGGCUCACGGAGGGCUCAUUCCCCAUUGUGAUGGAUGGGCAGGCACAGUCAGCCUGGAGGGUCCCGUGGCCCUUCACACAACAAUAGGAUGAGGAGAGAUGAUGCACUUGGGACCCGGGCUCAGGUUGGAGCUCUGUCAUGUACCUCUGGGAGCCCCUCCUAGGGCCCGGCACAUAGUAGGUGCUCAAUAAAUACAAUGAUCCUCCACUGCACUGCUGACCUACAGGGGACUCGGCCUUAUACCACGUGAAACUUGGAUAUCUCCUUGUGACAGUGACUGAGGUACAACUGUGGAGUCAGGCUGCCCCUAUUUGAAUCCUGAAUACGUGACUGUCAAAGUAAACUUGGGCAAGUUACUUAGCUUC